rnacentral:lncRNA from 1 species
UGGUUGGGAUUUGAUUUAAGAUUUGUUUAAGGUUUGAUUUAGAGUUUAGGAUUUGAUUUAGGAUUUAGGAUUUGAUUAGGAUUUGGUUUAAUAUUUAGGAUUUGUAUUAGGAUUUGUUUAGGGUUUUAUUUAGGGUUUAGAUUAGGGUUUAGGAUUUGAUUUAGGAUUUGGUUAGGGAUUGGUUUAAGGUUUAGGAUUUGAUUAAGGUUUGAUUAGAGUUUGGUUUAGGAUUUAAGAUUUGUCUAGGAUUUGAUUAAGGUUGGAUUACGAUUAGGGAUUGAUUAGAAUUUAAGGUUUUAUUAGAUUUUUUUUAGGGUUUGACUACAUUUUCUUUAAUAUUCUUUUAUAUUUCUUUAGGAUUUCCUUGUGUUUUUUUUAUAACUUCAAUAAAAUUUAAUUGAGCUUGCUUAAUGUUUGAUUAUGAUUGUUAAUAUUUAAUUAUAAAUUCUCUAAAAUCCUAUUGGAUUGUUAGGACCUUUUGUUGUAAUUUUCUUUUACCUUCCACAGCCAGGUGCUUGGUGCAUUUUCAAACAAGACUUUAUGUAAUACGACAAUGUUGUCGUAAUACAUGAAGUCUUGCUUGACAAUGCUCCGAGCACCUGACUAUGGAAGGAAGAAUGGAAAUUGCAAUAACAAAAUCCUAAUUCUAAUAGAAUACUAAUAAUACUCUAAUUAGACCAUAAUAAUGCUAAGCAAGCUUAUUCAAAUUCAAAAAAUCCUCAAAGAAAUUUCAAACAAACAAUAAGAAUUCUUAAAGAAAUAUUAGAAGGAUCACAAAUAUCACUCAAAUACAUCUCAAUUCAAUCUUAAUUUAAUUCUAGUUAAAAUCCUAUUGAACUUCAUUCAAACUUUAGGCCAAAACUAGUUGAAUCUUAAAUCUUAUUAAAAUCUUAAACCCUAAAUCAAACUCUAAACAAACCUUAAACCAAAUCCCAAGCAAAUUCUAAACCAAAUCCUAACCAAACCCUAAUCAAACCCUAAACCAAACCCUAAACCAAACCCUAAACCUUAAAUCAAAUCCUAAUCAAAUCCUAAUCCAAAUCCUAAACCCUAAAUCAAACCCUAAUCCAAACCCUAAAUAAAACCCUAACCAAACCCUAAACCAAAUCCUAAAUCAAAUCCUAAACAAAUCUUAAAUCAAACCCAGACCAAAUUCUAAAUCAAACCCUAAUCAAACCCUAACCAAAUUCUAACCAAACACUAACCAAAUCCUAACCAAACCCUAACCAAAUCCUAAUACAAAUCCUAAAUCCUAAAUCAAAUCCUAAACCCUAAAUAAAAUCCUAACCAAACCUUAAACCUUGAAUCAAACCUUAAUCCAAAUCCUAAAUCCUAAACCCUAAACCAAACUCUAACCAAACCCUAAACCAAACCUUAGUAAUUCCUAUAAUAGAUUUAAAUCUCAAUAACUAAUUAAUAAACCGUUGAUCUUAACUCAAAUUUUUCACACUUCUAAAAACAUAAGUUAAAAACAAGCACAAAAAAAUUGAAAAGGAUCGGAAUUACCAAAUUGAUGUUACCUUCAAAAAUGUACUCGGAUAUUGGCUGGCCUCCUUCUCCAAUCUUGAUGCCAAUCUUCUAGAGCUAAAAUCUCUCUUUUGCACCGUUAGAUUGAUCUCAAAAUUCUCAAGCACAUAGAAAAAUAAGUCUUAUAUCCUCUUA